rnacentral:lncRNA from 1 species
CGAGAGGAAUAAUUUCAUGUCUUAGUUUAAAUAGGCGCCCACCUGUAUAACGAGAGGAAUAAUUUCAUGUCUUAGUUUAAAUAGGCGCCCACCUGUAUAACGAGAGGAAUACUUUCAUGUCUUAGUUUAAAUAGGCGCCCACCUAUAUAACGAGAGGAAUAAUUUCAUGUCUUAGUUUAAAUAGGCGCCCACCUGUAUAACGAGAGGAAUAAUUUCAUGUCUUAGUUUAAAUAGGCGCCCACCUGUAUAACGAGAGGAAUACUUUAAUGUCUUAGUUUAAAUAGGCACCCACCUGUAUAACGAGAGGAAUAAUUUCAUUACUUAGUUUAAAUAGGCUCCCACCUAUAUAACGAGAGGAAUAAUUUCAUGUCUUAGUUUAAAUAGGCGCCCACCUGUAUAACGAGAGGAAUAAUUUCAUGUCUUAGUUUAAAUAGGCGCCCACCUGUAUAACGAGAGGAAUACUUUUAUGUCUUAGUUUAAA